CGCGUGAGGAUCUGCCUAUAGGACCGGGACAACAUUAGGAAACUGAUGCUAAAACCGGAUGUGCCGAGAGGUGAAAUAUUUAUAGCCUGUAGAUGAGCUCGCGUCUGAUUAGCUAGUUGGUGGGGUAAAGGCUUACCAAGGCGACGAUCAGUAGCUGGUCUGAGAGGACGAUCAGCCACACUGGGACUGAGACACGGCCCAGACUCCUACGGGAGGCAGCAGUGGGGAAUUUUCCGCAAUGGGCGAAAGCCUGACGGAGCAACGCCGCGUGAGGGAGGAAGGCCUGUGGGUUGUAAACCU
rnacentral:rRNA from 1 species